AAACAGCCCUAUAUGUUUUGAUUCUUUGGCAGUUUUGGACCCCCAAGGCAAAAAAAAAUAAAAAAAUUGACACGUGGCGCCUCACUUAGGGUGACACGUCAGCGUUGACCGAGUCAACAAUGGAUUGGGGGUCCAAAACUGACAAAGAAUCAAAACAUAAAGAGUUGUUU
rnacentral:pre_miRNA from 1 species